UUAGAACCCGAGACACCGUUUCGAUUUCAACCCCGAAAUUAAACCCAGGAUUGAUUGAAUAUUGUCGACCGAUGUCAUCAAUCUCUGGCCACAAAGUUCCAACUACAAAAUCACAUCCUAUGAGCAUCAACAUAAGAGACAGGUUGAAGAAAGGUAGAUAUUCAUUUCAAACAAGUUGCUUAUUUGACACAAGUACUUGAUACCCCAAAAAGAAAGGGGUAAAACCAAAGAAAGGAAACAGAAGUAUAAACUAUGGAUUCUUUGCAGUAUUUCUGGGCAUGGGUGCAAGUCCAAAGAACUUGCUUGAAGAGAGAGAUUACAUUGAGCUUAAAGAUAAGAGAGCAGUAUAGAAUUUGGAUAU